GUGGGAGCUAGUAUUUUUGGCUCCUCUUUCCUCGCUUGUCUCACCGUGUUUUAAAAGGUAUAUAUAUUUGGUGUUUUUUUCAGAAUUUUUGGGGAGACAACUAUACCCCCAUGCACAUACCGCCCCCUGCUAGAUAACCGAACGAGGUCUUAAUUUGUUAGGGCAUGCAAUGCAAGGCAGGCGUCCUUUAGAAAGCUCGUCGGUCGUUGGUUAAUGAAGCUCCAACUAUACAUUUCAAUUUCAAAGCGAGGUCAGGAGCCGACAAAUUGUCAAGGUAUGAUCAUGCAGAUAUGCCGUUGCGCUCAGAUGGGAAUCUCAAUUUUUUUUCUCAGGCUAAUGCCGUGAUAGUAUGUGCCGAAUAAAACGCCACUACACCGACUGACUCGACCCCUGUUGUGUUACAGAAGCAAAAGAGUUACAUCGUACUAUCAGAAAGAUACGACGACGCACAGUUUUGGACGCAAGGGGGGCGGGGCGGGUACUACGGUACGCUGAUUCAGACGGC
rnacentral:lncRNA from 1 species